rnacentral:rRNA from 1 species
UGAGGAAUUUUGCGCAAUGGGAGCAAUCCUGACGCAGCAACGCCGCGUGAGGGAAGAAGGCCUUCGGGUUGUAAACCUCUUUUGUAUGGGAAGAAGGACGUGACGGUACCAUACGAAUAAGUCCCGGCUAACUACGUGCCAGCAGCCGCGGUAAUACGUAGGGGACGAGCGUUGUCCGGAAUUACUGGGCGUAAAGGGCGCGCAGGCUGUUUGACAAGUCAGCUGUUAAAUAUGGGGGCUUAACCCUUAUAUGCGGUUGAAACUAUCAGACUGGAGUGCUGUAGAGGCAAGUGGAAUUCCCAGUGUAGCGGUGAAAUGCGUAGAUAUUGGGAAGAACACCGGUGGCGAAGGCGACUUGCUGGGCAGCAACUGACGCUGAGGCGCGAAAGCCAGGGGAGCAAACG